rnacentral:lncRNA from 1 species
UGAUGGGGAAUGUACUGUGUAUGUGUAUCUUAUUUAUCGUUAAAUAAAAUACUGUUUGGCCAAUGAGACAUCAAGUAGACGGGACUAGGAGUCAAAGAGGAUUCUGGGAAAUGUAGUAGAGAAGUGCUGAUCCAGGCAGGGAGUGACAUAGCAAGGAGACUCAUAUUUAAGCGAAGGAGAAACAGGAAGGGCUCUCUUUUCCCCUCCGCUCCUGCUCCAGCGGCACAAUGUGAUCCACCGGCAAGGAGGGACACCAACAAGGCGUCCGAUAAGAGAAAAUUAAAAGCUGUGGAUUCCUUCCAGACUAAUAUGGUUUGAUCAAGCAAGACCCCCCUGGAGCUUGAGAAAAUACAGCCUUACAGACUACAAAAACAAGGACUUGGUCAGGUUUCUAUGUUAGUGGUAUAAACAUUGGCCCCAAUCAGCAGGAAGCAGUUUAGAAAGAACGACGGCCACAUUCCCAAUUGUUUUCAUUUAAAUGGGGUUAGUUAUAAAUGAUGAUGAGCAUAAUCAAUCUCUUUUUAAAGAAAGAAAAGGGGAAUAGAAUAUAGGAAUGAAUACUUUACAUUGGUAUAGAUUUUCAUUUAUUGAUAUACAACUUUAAGGACAAUUUUGUGAUAUGUAUAUGUCUCCUCUUGUUUAGGUAUUGUCUUUAUACAGAUCUUUUAAUAUAGUUACCUAUAAUAAAAACUUAUAAUUAGGUUAGUUAGGUUUUCUAGAUAUAUAGAGAUGUAUUUGAGAUAGUUAGGUACUCUUCAGACCUUUCAAAGACCUACAGAAAUAUGGCAUUUAAAUGGUUUAGGGUUUUUCUUGGCAGUGAGACACAACUGCUCUUGGCACACCAAUUACGUCAGAAAGGAGGAUGGGCAUUGGAGAAACUGGUUAUGGAGUUUGCUUUCAACAUGGCAAGAUUAGCCAUUUGGGCAAGAAACUGCUCUUGCCUGGACUGUUUGUUGCUGUAUAAAUUGGACAUACAGGACCCACAAGAAAGUAACUGCUAAACUUACAAAAUAAGACAGUACUGAAGGGUUCCUGUUAAAAUGGAGAAGUGUGCUAGGCACACUAUGUCCUAUAGGCUAAAGAUGGAUGCCCCAACGUUAAAGAGGAACUUUGGGUGACUGUCCAGGUAGCGAGAAGUCUCUGUCAGUUCUAGAGUUUAUAUAUUAUCCUUCUGUGGUCUUUGAUAGAGUUGAAGACAGAUAGUUAUGGUUAUAGUUUUCUUCAGUUAUUAUAAAAGAUAAGUUAUCCUUCUUUUUAUUUAGACAGAAAAGAGGAGAUGAUGGGGAAUGUACUGUGUAUGUUUAUCUUAUUGAUUGUUAAAUAAAAUACUGUUUGGCCAAUGAGACAGCAAGUAGAGGACUAGGAGUCAAAGAGGAUUCUGGGAAAUGUAGUAGAGAAGUGCUGAUCCAGGCAGGAGUGACAUAGCAAGGAGACUCAUAUUUAAGCGAAGGAGUAACAGGAAGGGACCCUUUUU